GAUUGCUAAUACCCGAUAUGCCCUUCGGGGUGAAACGUUUUUUCGCCUAGAGAUGAGCUCGCGUCCGAUUAGCUAGUAGGUAGUGUAAUGGACUACCUAGGCGAUGAUCGGUAGCUGGUUUGAGAGGACAAUCAGCCACACUGGGACUGAGACACGGCCCAGACUCCUACGGGAGGCAGCAGUGGGGAAUUUUCCGCAAUGGGCGCAAGCCUGACGGAGCAAUACCGCGUGGGGGAGGAAGGUCUGUGGAUUGUAAACCCCUUUUCUCAGGGAAGAAGCUCUGACGGUACCUGAGGAAUCAGCAUCGGCUAACUCCGUGCCAGCAGCCGCGGUAAUACGGAGGAUGCAAGCGUUAUCCGGAAUUAUUGGGCGUAAAGCGUCCGCAGGCGGCUAGAUAAGUCUGCUUUCAAAGAGUGGGGCUCAACCCCAUAAGGGGAGUGGAAACUGUUUAGCUAGAGUAUGGUAGGGGCAGAGGGAAUUCCCAGUGUAGCGGUGAAAUGCGUAGAUAUUGGGAAGAACACCAG
rnacentral:rRNA from 1 species